CUUGGCCCCUGACAGCUCAGAAUGUUCUGCCUUCAGUGGAUGAGUGAGCUCUCUCGCUUCUUUUAUAUUUAUCUAUCUAUCUAUCUAUAUCAGGUCACAUCAUGCAGCAUGUGGGAUCUUAGUUCCCUGACCAGGGAUCAAACCCAUGUCCCCUGCACUGGAAGCUCGGCGUCUUAACCACUGGACGGCCAGGGAAGCUCCCUCACUUCUCUUUUGAUAAAGUCAUCUCUGUGAAAAUGGAUUUGUAGCAGAAAAUCCACGCAGCAGAAUGACUCAAGACGCAGUCAAUAAACAGGGUUCCCAUGGGUUGGAAAAAGUGAUGAAAAUUAAAGUCGCUCAGUCGUGCCCGACUCUUUGCAACCCCUGGACUACAUAGUCCAUGGAAUUCUCCAGGCCAAAAUACUGGAGUGGGUAGCCUUUCCCUUCUCCAGGGGAUCUUCCUGACCCAGGGAUCGAACCCAGGUCUCCUGAAUUGCAAGCGGAUUCUUUACCAGCUGAGCCACCAGGGAAGCCCAAGAACACUGGACUGGGUCCGCUGGCCUGGAGGAUCACAGAAUAACUCAAGGUGGUCAUCUCGGUACAUUCACAAACUGUUGUCCUACAUUUACUCCUUUAAGCUGUACUUUUACAGUCCAUGGGGUUGCAAAGAGCGGGACAGGACUGCACUUUCAUGAAGAUCUAUUAAUAGUUCUGGAGCCUUUUCCUCACCCUCAGGAGAAACCUGUACCCAUUGACAGCCACUCCCCAUCCCUUCCUCCCUGAGCCCCGGGCAACCAUCAGUCUACUUUCUGUCUCUAUCAAUUUGUUCCUUCGGACAUUGCUGAUAAAUGGAGUCCUGCAGUUAUGUGGCCCUUGUCUGACCUCUUUCACUGACCAUUAACCCCUUCUUUUGAGGGCUUCUCCGGUGUCUCCGGUGGCCCAGAUGGUAAAGAAUGCGUCUGCAAUGUGGGAGACCUGGGUUCGAUCCCUGGGUCGGGAAGAUCCCCUGGAGGAGGGCAUGGCAACCCACUCUAGUAUUCCUGCCUGGAGAAUCCCCAUGGACAGAGGAGCCUGGGUGGCUACAGUUCAUGGGGUCACAACAAGUCGGACUAAGCACAUUAGCACACGCCUGCAUGUAUAUUAGGGUUUUGACACAAUGGUGCUCCAUGGUACGGCCAUGCCACUUUGUGCUUACCUGUUCAUCUGGCAGUGACUACUUGGGUUGUUUCAAACAAACUUUUUUUUUACUUUUAAUAGAAGGACAAUUGCUUUACAAUGUUGUGUUGGUUUCUGCCAUACAUCAACAUGGAUCAGCCAUAGGAAUACACAUGUCCCCUCCCUCUUCAGCCUCCCUCCCACCCCAUCCCUCUCUUCUUGGGUUGUCACAGAUCACAAGUUUGAGCUCCCUGAGUCAUACAGCAAAUGCCCACUGGCUGUCUAUUUUACACAUACUUUGGCCACCUGAUGCAAAGACUCACUGGAAAAGUCCCUGAUGCUGGGAAAGAUUGAAGGCGGGAGGAGAAAGGGACCACAGAGGAUGAGAUGGUUGGAUGGCACCGCCGACUCGAUGGACACGAGUUUGAGCAAGCUUGGGGAGUUGGUGAUGGACAGGGAGGCCUGGCGUGCUGCAGUCCAUGGGGUGGCAAAGAGUUGGACACGACUGAGCAACUGAACUGAACGUGUACAUUUCACUGCCGCUCUCUCCGUUCAUCCCAGCGUCUCCUCCGCUUCCUCCACUGAGUCCGAAGGAGCACCCAGACUUGCAUUUUGAUGAACUUUCAAUUUGCCUGAAAGAAAAACAAGAUUUAAGACAAUACUGUAGGGAGUUCCCUGGCAGUCCAGUGGUUAAGAACCUGCCUUGCAAUGCAGAGGACAUGGGUUCGAUCCCUGGUCUGAGAAGAUUCCACGUGCCACAGGGCAACUAAACCCAUGCACCACGGCUACCGAGCCUGCGCUCUAGCGCCCGUGAGCCGAAGCAAGAGGAGCCAGUGCGAUGAGAAGCCCUGGUGCUGAAACUGGAGAGCAGGCCCUGCUGGCCGCAAUGGGAGAAAGCCCAGGAGCAGCAGUGAAGACCUAGCACAGCCAGAAAGAAAUACAAUUAUUAGUUUUUAAAAGUUAAAAAUUAUAAUAGCUGUACAGGCUGAUGCUGUGUAACCAUGACCAUUAUUUAUUUUGAAACUUUUUUCAUCAGCC
ensembl:lncRNA